rfam:Podospora anserina genomic DNA, chromosome 7.
GCCCGCAUGGCUCAGUGGUAGAGCGUGUCACUAGUAAUGACAAGGCCGUCAGUUCAAUUCUGGCUGUGGGCA